CAACUCAUUUUUGAAGUUCUUCUAAUCCUACAGCUCUGAAUCUUCAGCCAGCAGUCAGGUACCAGUGGCUUGACUCUUGCAGGGUUCCCAUGGGCAGAGGACAAAGGUAGCAGUGAAGACAGACAAGACCAACAGUGCUUACAGUUGUGACAGGCUUCUGGCUAAUAUUACUGGAAUUUUCUUUAGUCUUGUAACAGCAUUUCAGAACUGGAACUUUGUUACCACAGAGAUACAUAAUGGAAUUUCUCAGAUGGAAAAUAGUGCCCCACCCCCUCCCCCCAACUGAGACUAGCAGCAAAGGGCAUCCAUUACAGUAAAGCAGGUCCAGCCUUUCAGAUUCCUCAUCCAACUCUGCCCAAGAGAUUUUAGUGGAAACAAAGCUAACUUAAGGAACGCCAAUUAAGCAUGUCAAAACACAGCUACAUCACAUACCUGAAAGCUUGCUGUUCUGCUCAAGAUUUCCGUGGAAGUCUUCAGCCUGCUGAGGGUGCUGUUCAUCACAGGGAGACUUCAACACUGUCUCCAUCACAAAACGAGUCUCAAGUAAAAAAAAUCCAAGCCUUCGAAGGCCACUGCUGGACACCUGGGGAAGCAAGCAUAUCUGGUUGGAUACGAAGGAUGAGAAGCCAAAUGACAAGCCAGGCCCAUGCAGAAUGUUCCCUACGGCUGAC